rnacentral:rRNA from 1 species
AACGUAGGGGGCGAGCGUUGUCCGGAAUUACUGGGCGUAAAGGGCGUGUAGGUGGCCUGUGAAGUCGAAAGUGAAAACCUGGGGCUCAACCCCGGGCCUACUUUCGAAACCAGCAGGCUUGAGGACAGGAGAGGGAAGCGGAAUUCCCAGUGUAGCGGUGAAAUGCGUAGAUAUUGGGAGGAACACCAGUGGCGAAAGCGGCUUUCUGGCCUGUAACUGACACUGAGGCGCGAAAGCGUGGGGAGCAAACAGG